rnacentral:rRNA from 1 species
AAGCCAGCUUGACUGCGAGCGUGACGGCGCGAGCAGGUGCGAAAGCAGGUCAUAGUGAUCCGGUGGUUCUGAAUGGAAGGGCCAUCGCUCAACGGAUAAAAGGUACUCCGGGGAUAACAGGCUGAUACCGCCCAAGAGUUCAUAUCGACGGCGGUGUUUGGCACCUCGAUGUCGGCUCAUCACAUCCUGGGGCUGAAGUAGGUCCCAAGGGUAUGGCUGUUCGCCAUUUAAAGUGGUACGCGAGCUGGGUUUAGAACGUCGUGAGACAGUUCGGUCCCUA